rnacentral:misc_RNA from 1 species
AGAACAAAAAUCGAAGCCGUUGCUCUUUACGAAAUAUUAUUAUAUUUUGUUUGGGUGAUCGCGUCGGAAUUGAACCGUCUUUCAUAUGUUAAUUCAUGUCAAAGUGGCUUAAAAUUCAUCAAUCUGGUACGAUUUAAAGCGUAUUUAAGAUCAGUCUUGAUUAAGAACGCGCGAUGACGUAUCAUCUCAUGUAGUACGUUCGACCUGCUUGUCAGGCUCAUUCGUAUACGACACUCAAC